GUUUAGGAAGCUCUCUGCAGUCAAAGGGGCUGCUGUGAAGUUACAGUUGCAAUAUAAAGAUGACAAGAAGUUCAAGACAAGAUAAAGGACCCCAGUGAGAUUGGACACUGAGAGAAGGUGAUGAAAAGAGAGGCUGUUUUUCCAGCUGAGUGGAGAGUACAGCAGAGAAACAAAGGUGAUUAAUUACAAUUGCAUCCAGGAAAGGCAAGAAAGUCGUUCCUGCAAGUCUGUGUAGAGCAGUGGCUCUGCUAUCAAAGCCA